GCAACAGCUCAAAUUUGAAAUCUGGCUCACGCCCGAGUUGUAAUUUGUAGAGGAUGUUUCGGGUGAAGCCACGGUCCAAGUCCCUUGGAACAGGACGUCAUAGAGGGUGAGAACCCCGUACCUGGCCGUCGGUGCCCCCCGCUGUGAAACUCCUUCGACGAGUCGAGUUGUUUGGGAAUGCAGCUCUAAAUUGGUGGUAAAUUCCAUCUAAAGCUAAAUACCGGCCAGAGACCGAUAGCGCACAAGUAGAGUGAUCGAAAGAUGAAAAGCACUUUGAAAAGAGAGUUAAAAAGUACGUGAAAUUGUUGAAAGGGAAGCGCUUGCGGCCAGACUUGCCCGCGGUUGCUCAGCCCGCCUUUUGGCGGGUGCACUCUUCCGCGGUCAGGCCAGCAUCGGUUUGGGCGGCCGGAUAAAGACGCCGGGAACGUGGCCUCCCCUCGGGGAGGUGUUAUAGCCCGGCGUGCAAUGCGACCAGCCCGGACCGAGGUUCGCGCUCUGCUAGGAUGCUGGCGUAAUGGCCGUAAGCGGCCCGUCUUGAAACACGGACCAAGGAGUCUAACAUCUAUGCGAGUGUUUGGGUGUCAAACCCGUGCGCGUAAUGAAAGUGAACGGAGGUGGGAACCCGCAAGGGCGCACCAUCGACCGAUCCUGAUGUCUUCGGAAGGAUUUGAGUAAGAGCAUAGCUGUUGGGACCCGAAAGAUGGUGAACUAUGCGUGAAUAGGGUGAAGCCAGAGGAAACUCUGGUGGAGGCUCGCAGCGGUUCUGACGUGCAAAUCGAUCGUCAA
rnacentral:rRNA from 1 species